rnacentral:piRNA from 1 species
AUUCUCAUGGCAAGUGAUGGCAGUGGU